rnacentral:rRNA from 1 species
GACGAACGCUGGCGGCGUGCUUAACACAUGCAAGUCGAACGAAGAGCGAUGGACUCUUGCUUCUAUCAAUCUUAGUGGCGGACGGGUGAGUAAUGCGUAAUCAACCUGCCCUUCAGAGGGGGACAAAAGUUGGAAACGACUGCUAAUGCCGCAUACGAUCUCAUCUCGGUAUCGAGGAGAGAUGAAAGGUGGCUGCUACAUGUAAGCUAUCACAGAAGGAGGGGACUGCGGCUGUUUAGCAAGAUGGCGGGGUAACGUCGCACCAAGGCGAGGAUCAGUAGGCGGUCUGCGAGGAUGAACGGCCACAUUGGGACUGGGACACGGCCCAGACUACUACGGGAGGGACCAGUGGGGGAUCUGCAGGAAUGGACGAAAGUCGGGCGGAGAAACGCCGAGGGAGGGAUGACGGCCGUCGGGUUGUAAAGGUCUGUUAAUCGGGAGGAAAGGCCUUCUUGCGAAUAGUGAGAGGGAUUGACGGUACCGGAAUAGAAAGCCACGGCUAACUACGUG